rnacentral:rRNA from 1 species
UACGGAGGGAGCUAGCGUUGUUCGGAAUUACUGGGCGUAAAGCGCACGUAGGCGGCUUUGUAAGUUAGAGGUGAAAGCCCGGAGCUCAACUCCGGAAUUGCCUUUAAGACUGCAUCGCUUGAAUCCAGGAGAGGUGAGUGGAAUUCCGAGUGUAGAGGUGAAAUUCGUAGAUAUUCGGAAGAACACCAGUGGCGAAGGCGGCUCACUGGCCCGGUACUGACGCUGAGGUGCGAAAGCGUGGGGAGCAAACAGG